GACUCGCUGUCCUGAAAUAUUGACAAAUGUGGAAAGAACAGCGCAUGCACGCACACAGCCUCUUCACCCAAUCACCUUCUGAAGGGAGAGAAAAUCCUUCCUGAAACCCAGGGACUCAUUUCAACUUCCUGCUUGAAAACCUUUGUGGACAGCCACUGCCUAUCCAAGAUAAAGUCCUCGGGAUCCAAACUUGCUCCCUGCCUGUGGCC